UACGUAGGGGGCAAGCGUUGUCCGGAAUCAUUGGGCGUAAAGAGCGUGUAGGCGGCCAGAUAGGUCGGUUGUGAAAACUCGAGGCUCAACCUCGAGACGCCGGUGGAAACCGUAUGGCUAGAGUCCGGAAGAGGAGAGUGGAAUUCCUGGUGUAGCGGUGAAAUGCGCAGAUAUCAGGAAGAACACCCGUGGCGAAGGCGGCUCUCUGGGACGUGACUGACGCUGAGACGCGAAAGCGUGGGGAGCAAACAGG
rnacentral:rRNA from 1 species